rnacentral:rRNA from 1 species
UACGUAGGGGGCAAGCGUUGUCCGGAAUCAUUGGGCGUAAAGAGCGUGUAGGCGGCUCGGUAAGUCCGCUGUAAAAGUCCAGGGCUCAACCCUGGAAAGCCGGUGGAAACUGUCGAGCUAGAGUCCGGAAGAGGCGAGUGGAAUUCCUGGUGUAGCGGUGAAAUGCGCAGAUAUCAGGAGGAACACCAAUGGCGAAGGCAGCUCGCUGGGACGUUACUGACACUGAGGCGCGAAAGCGUGGGGAGCGAACAGG